rnacentral:lncRNA from 1 species
CAUCCCUCCUCUAGAGAAGUUGCUGAGAACACAGCUCCUCACCAUGGACUGGACCUGAAGGAUCAUUUUUUUGGUGGCAGCAGCUACAGGUGCCCAAUUCCAGGUGCAGCUGGUGCAGUCUGGGGCUGAAGGAGGAAGCUUAGGGCCUCAGUGAAGGUGUCCCGCAAAGCUCUGGAUACACCUUCACCAGCUACGAUAUUCACUGUGUGCGACAGGCCCCUGGAUAAGGGUUUGAAAGGAUGGGAGGGAUCUACUCUGGCAAUGGUAAGACAGGCUAUGCACAGAAGUUCCAGGGCAGAGUCACCAUGACCAGGGACAUGUCCACGAGCACAGCCUACAUGGAGCUGAGCAGUCAGAGAUCUGAGGACAUAGAUGUGUACUACUGUGCGAGA